rnacentral:rRNA from 1 species
GAUGAACGCUGGCGGCGUGCCUAAUACAUGCAAGUCGAGCGAACGGACGAGAAGCUUGCUUCUCUGAUGUUAGCGGCGGACGGGUGAGUAACACGUGGAUAACCUACCUAUAAGACUGGGAUAACUUCGGGAAACCGGAGCUAAUACCGGAUAAUAUUUUGAACCGCAUGGUUCAAAAGUGAAGACGGUCUUGCUGUCACUUAUAGAUGGAUCCGCGCUGCAUUAGCUAG